AGAUAUGUAAUCAGGAAGCGCAGUCGGAAAGGAAGUGCUAUGUGAUAAUGACAAGCAAUGAAUCAGCUAUGAAACGUGAUACAGAGCAGUGCGAACCUCGAGUGACAGUCGACGCAGGGCAUCCACGCUUUGUUACUCGAGCUCCGCAGGAUUUUGCUAACUUUUGCCCGCAAUGUAACGCAAGAUUUGGCCGGUCGGUUGAUUCUGUACGUCAACAUUUCAGAAAUCAGCCACACUCAAAAUUUGAUUCUUGCGUAUAUUGUGGUACGGCAGUUUUCAUGUACUUAAGUGAUGGGAAACGUACUGUUUUCCAUGAAUGUCGGUCAUGUGCGAGCCCAAAUUGUGAACAAAUUCGGAACCAGAACUGCGAUCAAAAUCGUUAACCGGCAAACUGUUAAAAGCGUCGGGAAGGGGGGUUGUGCAGUGAUUCUAAUCUAUUAAAAGGGGGGUUGUGCAGUGAUUCUAAUCUAUUAAAGACUGGACUGCAGUGGUACUAGCGCAUUAAUAAUGUUGCGCUUCAUUUGUCUGUAAUGGCUUUUUGUCAACGAUUCCGGUGGGUACCAUCAGAGGGUUAAGGGGCGAAACAAUGAGGUCAUCAGUUCCUUGAGCCAGGGAUGGUUUGCGUUACUGCCUUACAGUUUUCUGGGAAGCACAAGCUGUCCAAAUUCCCAGCUUUGGGGUUUGCUCAUUUCCUGUGAAGUUUUUGUACUCAGGCUCACCAGCAAUGGUUGCCUCUGCUGGGAUGACUGUGCCACUCUCCUCAGCACUGGGGCUGUCUGCCAGUGCUCAGUCUCACAAACAAGUUCACCUCACCUCAUACUGAUUACAGAUGGCCGAAUAACACACUUAUAUGCGGAUUAUAUUACGUGUCCAUCUGGAAUUAAUGAUGUCCAUGAAGUAUCUCUUCUGAUGAUGAAAGUACCUGAGAGCAGUAAGGCCAAGACACUGAAGGUAGUACUGAUGCCAGAGCUGAGAAAGAAUUUGUGAAGAAGUGUAUGGAUGAGGCAGGUGCAUAGGUUAGAGCAAUCGAAGGGUCUCUCAGUGGUGAGAAAAGCACUGUAAUAUGGCAUCCGGCAUUGAAGAGUUCAUAAAUCGUUUAGGGAAAACUAAUUUCUUGGUGUCUGUAAAGUGUAUAUUAUGUCAUAAAAUUGUUCAUAAAGAAAUCCAAAUUUGUUCUACAUUACAAAAAUUGUGCCAUACAGAGUGUUUUGGUGAUAUUAACUUAAAUUACUGAAACUGUGAGUGUGACAUGUUCAUAUGUAAUGGUCAUCAGUCUGCAACUGAAAUGUUCACCAGUGGAUAAACGGAAAGUGUAUUGACUUCUCUACAGUCUGAUGUGGAAAUGUGUGAACAGUAUUCUAAAAUGCUUAAAAAAAUGAUACAUAGCCUUUGUAGCAAUCUAGACAGUAUUACUAAUGACAACAGUCAUGAACAUGUUAGGCCAAUGAUGCAAGUGCAUCGCAGACAAAGUGAAAACACUUGUCUUCCAGCAGAAAACAGUGAGAGCAUGAUGCAAAGCCUUCUAGUGCAUCGCAAACUGCAAGAAAAUGUGUCAUUCAGCAGUUAACGGUCGUGGAAUUGAGACAGAAAUGAGUGUAGGGAAACAUGAAGUACAUACUAAACAGAGUAGGCCUCCAUACAGUCAUGGUUAAAAAUGCAAUGUUCAGUACAAAUACAGAACUACCUCCAGGAACAGCAAACUUUAGAAACAAACAUGUGCAGAUAAACACAAAUUUCGAUUUCCAGAUUUAAAAUAAUGAUAUUCUCUAAUAGCCAUGGAUGUGGCCUUGCUGGAAUCUUACGUUUUGAUUUUCAUGUAAAUUCAUAGUAAAACCUGUGGCACCUUUGGAUGAGAUCAAAAGAAACAUAAACGCUGAAAAUCUCUCCAGUUUGUUAAAAUGUACAAUAAUUACUGGGGGCACUAAUCAUGUAUAUAAAAAUGAAUUAUUCAAAGAAAUAAAUGCUGGACUCUAUUAGGAGAACACCUGUAAUGGUCAUAGGGAUUCCUCAUAGACACGAUGUUACAACCACUUCUAUUGUGAAUGAUAAAAUCAUCAAGGCCAGAAGAUUUGCAAAGCAUUCCACAACCCACAUUUCUUAUCUGUAGAGUUCCUUGAGAGAAAGCACGUUACACAACAUCAUCUAGAUCUAAAUAUUAAGGAUAAGACACUACUAUGAUUAAUAGCUUCUUUAUAUAUAUGGUCAAAGCCAUAUAGAUAUGUCAGAGUAAAAUUCAAAGAUGUUUCAUCAUGCGUAAACUUAUGUGAGUUGUUCUUUCACAGUGGUGUAGUUCAUUUGUCAUAUCAGAAUUUCUCCCCUUUCCUCUGUAUAUCUUCACAAGUAUAACAAAACUGUUGUAUCCACACCUAAAGUACUUCACAUUUUCUUAAAUUGUUUGUUCAUUUCAAGAUUCACAUAUAAUGAGCUUAACAAUCAGUAGUAACAUAAGUAUUUGUAUGACUGUAUGAUAAUAUAGUCAGUUGUGUUUCUAGGUGAUGUACUAGCAAGUGUACAAAGAAAAAUCAUAUAGGUACUUGUUUUGACUCUCUAAUGUGUAUGACUUCACAUUCCUCCUCCACUCAGUGUAAAUACAUCUCUUAUAAAUUGCAAACCAAUAAGGUAGUAUUGUAUUUCCAUAGUGUAUCAUUGGUAUAGCAGUUUCAAAGUACAUAAUAUUUAUAACAUGAGUAAUAACUGUGAUCACAGUCAAAAUAUUCAUGUAAUGUGUUUCAUGAUUUCAUAUGAGCAUAUAAAUUUCUGUGU